rnacentral:rRNA from 1 species
AACUUUGGACAAUGGGGGCAACCCUGAUCCAGCCAUCCCGCGUGUGCGAUGAAGGCCUUCGGGUUGUCCCGCACUUUUGGCAGGGAAGAAAAGCCGCGGGCCAAUACCCCGCGGUGCUGACGGUACCUGCAGAAUAAGCACCGUCUAACUACGUGCCACCAGCCGCGGUAAUACGUAGGGUGCAAGCGUUAAUCGGAAUUACUGGGCGUAAAGCGUGCGCAGGCGGUUUGGCAAGAAGGAUGUGAAAUCCCGGGGCUUAAUCUCGGAACUGCAUUCUUAACUGCCAGGCUAGAGUAUGUCAGAGGGGGGUAGAAUUCCACGUGUAGCAGUGAAAUGCGUAGAGAUGUGGAGGAAUACCGAUGGCGAAGGCAGCCCCCUGGGAUAAUACUGACGCUCAUGCACGAAAGCGUGGGGAGCAAACAG